UACGUAGGGCGCAAGCGUUGUCCGGAAUUAUUGGGCGUAAAGUGUGCGCAGGCGGCCGCGCAAGUCGAGUGUGAAAGCCCCGGGCUUAACUUGGGAAUUGCGCUCGAAACUACGUGGCUGGAGUGUGGCAGAGGAAGGUGGAAUUCCACGUGUAGCGGUGAAAUGCGUAGAGAUCUGGAGGAACACCGAUGGCGAAGGCAGCCUUCUGGGCCAACACUGACGCUCAUGCACGAAAGCGUGGGGAGCAAACAGG
rnacentral:rRNA from 1 species